AACUGCUCACUGCCAUGCUAUUAGCUACGUUAAUGGUUUUGUCAAAUAAAUGGAAUGUAAAAUUUUAAAAAAAGUCUAAAAGUCAGGCUUUGCAAGAAUUUAAAGAAAAAAUGAAUUCCUAAUUUCAACAUUAACAGAAGAAAACUUUAAACUUAUUCCCACAAAGGGCAGACAUGAAUUCUCACAAUACAUCCUUGGAGGUGACUGCAAACAUUAUAUAGGUUUGGACCCAAAUACUGGAAUUCUUUACUCAUUAAAAUUUGCAAUUGAUAAAACAGAUUUGGGUUAAAAGAGAAAAGGAGAAAGGAAGAAACAAAGAAAAGCCAGUUUUCAAAUUGUCUUCAAUUCUGGUAUCUACAUGUCAAGACAUAAACAGAUGCUGGAUAAGGUCCAAAGAAACUAAAGUGAUCACAAAAUCAUUGAUUGCUGUAUGAGAAUCCAAACAACAGGAUUUCAUUCCCUGUGCUGAGCCUCCUUUCAGUUUCCUCUUCCUACCUAUGUCUCAGCUGAAAACUUAAGACCACUCACCCUACAGCCAAUGGUUCCACCUUCUGCAGCUGUCGUCUAAAUUCCAAAUGCAGCCAUGUCAAGGCACCUGCACAUGGCAGCUGUAAAAGAAACACUGGCACUUUACUGCUGAGAGGAAAGGUAGUGCCAUUUUUUGAGCAUCGGUUCCCUCCCAGAGAGGAUGACAGCUGGCAACUCUGUCCUACAGAAAAUAGGAAAGCAAGAGAAACAUAUACAGAAAUGCCUACAUAUGAUGUCACUCGGUAGCCACAGC
rnacentral:lncRNA from 10 species